UACAGAGGUCCCAAGCGUUGUUCGGAUUCACUGGGCAUAAAGGGUGCGUAGGUGGUGAGGUAAGUCGGAUGUGAAAUCUCCGAGCUCAACUCGGAAACUGCAUUGGAAACUACCUUGCUCGAGGGUUGGAGGGGGGACUGGAAUGCUUGGUGUAGCAGUGAAAUGCGUAGAUAUCAAGCGGAACACCAGUGGCGAAGGCGAGUCCCUGGACAACUCCUGACACUGAUGCACGAAAGCUAGGGGAGCAAACAGG
rnacentral:rRNA from 1 species